rnacentral:rRNA from 4 species
CUGCAUGGAGCCGACCUUGAAAUACCACCCUUUAAUGUUUGAUGUUCUAACGUGGACCCGUGAUCCGGGUUGCGGACAGUGUCUGGUGGGUAGUUUGACUGGGGCGGUCUCCUCCUAAAGAGUAACGGAGGAGCACGAAGGUUGGCUAAUCCUGGUCGGACAUCAGGAGGUUAGUGCAAUGGCAUAAGCCAGCUUGACUGCGAGCGUGACGGCGCGAGCAGGUGCGAAAGCAGGUCAUAGUGAUCCGGUGGUUCUGAAUGGAAGGGCCAUCGCUCAACGGAUAAAAGGUACUCCGGGGAUAACAGGCUGAUACCGCCCAAGAGUUCAUAUCGACGGCGGUGUUUGGCACCUCGAUGUCGGCUCAUCACAUCCUGGGGCUGAAGUAGGUCCCAAGGGUAUGGCUGUUCGCCAUUUAAAGUGGUACGCGAGCUGGGUUUAGAACGUCGUGAGACAGUUCGGUCCCUAUCUGCCGUGGGCGCUGGAGAACUGAGGGGGGCUGCUCCUAGUACGAGAGGACCGGAGUGGACGCAUCACUGGUGUUCGGGUUGUCAUGCCAAUGGCACUGCCCGGUAGCUAAAUGCGGAAGAGAUAAGUGCUGAAAGCAUCUAAGCACGAAACUUGCCCCGA